rnacentral:rRNA from 1 species
UUAAAUUGCUGUGGUAUUUUGACUAUAGAGGGAUUUCGCCAUAAGAUUUUAUUGAUGCUAAGAGAAUGGACUCUCAGAGAAAACUUUUUUUAAAUUAAAAAUUGAAAUUUUUUUAAUUUGUGCAGAAACAAUUAUUAAUAUUAAGGACAAGAAGACCCUAUGAAUUUAUUAAAUUUCAUUCAAUAUGUAAUUACUAUUGAAGAAAUUUUGGCUGGGGCGGCUAAAAAAUAUUUUAAACUUUUUAAAAAUAAAAUGAUCCAUUAUUAAUGAUUAUAUGUUAAAUACUCUAGGGAUAACAGCGUUAUAUUUUUUGAUAGACCAUAUUGACAAAAAAGUUUGCGACCUCGAUGUUGGAUUAGGAUACUUUUUUAAUGCAGAUAUUAAAAAAAGAAGUUUGUUCAACUUUCAAUUUCCUACAUGAUCUGAGUUCAGACCGG